GUGUGUGUUCUGGUCGUACAAUACACAGGAGCCAAGAAGGGCUCUCAAGCUCAAACCCUAACAAGCAUAAAAUCAACAAAUUGAAGGGGUAAAUCCAACCUAAAUCGAAAUCCAAGCACGAAUUCAUGAUCACCUCGAUGAAGGGAUCAUAAGUUUGACUCUUGACAAGCUAGAUGGAGGCUUGGGGAAAGAAGCGGGUUAAACGGAUCGUAUACACGGAAAAGAGCAUAAUCCGGAUACUAGGAAUAAAUAUCGAUUGAAUGUUGACAUCGCUAUUACUUAGCGGCUACUAAGGCAAGGUAUCGAAACGGGUCAAUAUAUUGAUCCGAGCCAGGUGAAGAUGGACCUAAUCCGGAUGAAGAUCAAGCGGCGAGCAAGAACCGAACACAUGUUAAAUGAAGCUUCCGCGUCAAAUCUUGAUUUGUGUUGAUAUAAGUGAAUUAUGUAAACACUUAUAAAUUGUUUUUGAAAUGUUGUAAUCAUUUGGGAAUGUUGGUGUAACAAGUUAAAUAAAGACACAUUUUAGCAUAAAAAUUUGUAUCUUUUAUUAAAAUAUUAAUAAAACCAGACGGGCGUUACAAGUUGGUAAUCAGAGCUCAAGGUUAAAAAGAAUAAAGUGUUCGGUUCGAGGCUUGAUCGCAAAUCCGGUAAGUACAAGUAUGUUAAUGGUUUAGCGUGUUAAAGUGUUGUAAACAACACAUAGGGUUAUCUUGUAAUACACAUUACCCUAAUUAAAAUGAUUGAUAUAGUUGAUGAAAAUACGCGCGUUGACGCAUAUAGUAGAAAAAAAGCCUUGUAUUAUAAUACGGGCGAUUACUGAAGUUGAUAUUAUUAACUCUUGUAAAUGUUUUAGUUGAAGGACACUCGCAUCUAAAUAUAGCGGGAGUCUAACAAAUUGCGGACUUGGCGGAGGAACGGUCCAAAGUACGACAAGUAGAACAUACUCACCAAGGACCUAAAUCACGCAGCGAUCGCGAACAAGGCUAAUGGCAAGAAAAGCCUGUCAGGGCAAGCGUUACCAGUUUGACUCUUGACAAGCUAGAUGGAGGCUUGGGGAAAGAAACGGGUCAAACAGAUCGUAUACGCGGAAAAGAGCAUAAUCCGGAUACUAGGAAUAAAUAUCGAUUGAAUGUUGACAUCGCUAUUACUUAGCGGCUACUAAGGCAAGGUAUCGAAACGGGUCAAUAUAUUGAUCCGAGCCAGGUUUGUAUAAUGAUUCAACUCGUCAUGUAGAACUUGAGGUUCUAUAAGUGUUAGACAAGGAUAAAAUAUAGAUAUUCGGUUAUCAUUAAGGUAAACCGAAUAAAUUGGGUCAUGAUUAUGGUAUUUUAGAAAUAUAAUGGUUUCUAAACAAGAUUAUAGUUUUAAAAGUGGGAUUUUGGUCGAACAUGGCUUUAAAGGUCCUUCGUCGUAAUAGGAGGGGUAAAAGUGACCAAAAUGCCCUUAUAAGUGAAAUUAAGCAAACGAUCCCUAAAGGUUGCUUAGAAAUGAGUUUUGUAACCAAAUAGAUACUUGUAUUAAGUAUAAAAAGUGAAAUAUGUGAAUCUUUGGGUCAAAUGACUCUAUAUGAGUCUUUGCCGUAAAAUGAUAAUCCGAGGGGUAAAACUCGGAAUAAAUAGAUCUCCACAUUAAAUCCUCCACACAUAUAGUUGUGGUGGAAGAUAAAUUGAUAAAUAAUAUGGAAGUACAAUGCUAGAAGUGAAUGGGUAUGAAUUAUGCGGUAAAAGUGCUUAAAUACCCUUAACGGGUCAAAAUAAGCUUCUAAGUCAAAACGGGUUAAAGAAGGUAUACAAGCCCGUGAUUUUGAGCCUAAUAUAAUAGGAGAUAUUGAAAUUAUGAAGUUCAUGGGUUUAAAGAUCAAAUAGGCAUGUUUGUUUGAUAAAAUCACGAACGGGUCAAAAUUUGGUAAAAAGGGUAAUAAGCCAAAGAUUUAAAAGUCUUAAAUUUUUUUUAAUCCAGAUGUCGGAUUUUAACUCCACGUGAUGGAGAAUUAAAUUACGGACGCGUAGGAAAAAGAAUUGUGUAAAACGGAUUAAAAACGAGAGAGUUAUGUCCGUUUCGGUAAGAACUAAUGAAAAAUAAACGUGCAGAGUUAACACGGGCGGGUGACUUUUUGACACGGCCGGGUGGCUGGGCUGUGAAAAAUAUAUGUUAAGCUGACACGGCCGGGUGACUUUUUGACACGGCCGGGUGAAGGGGCUGAAAACAAAACAAAAAUAAUUUCUUGUUUUGUUACGUUAAGCACGGAACUUGUUUAUACUCGAUUAUUAAAGUGUCAAAACUAAUUAUUUACAUGGUUUUGACCGUAGGUGAAGAUGGACCUAAUCCGGAUGAAGAUCAAGCGGCGAGCAAGAACCGAACAAAUGUUAAAUGAAGCUUACGCGUCAAAUCUUGAUUUGUGUUGAUAUAAGUGAAUUAUGUAAACACUUAUAAAUUGUUUUUGAAAUGUUGUAAUCAUUUGGGAAUGUUGGUAUAA